rnacentral:rRNA from 1 species
AUUGAACGCUGGCGGCAGGCCUAACACAUGCAAGUCGAGCGAGCGGCGGACGGGUGAGUAAUGUCUGGGAAACUGCCUGAUGGAGGGGGAUAACUACUGGAACCGGUAGCUAAUACCGCAUACCAUCAGAUGUGCCCAGAUGGGGUUAGCUAGACGGUGGGGGAACGGCUCACCUAGGCGAAGAUCCCUAGCUGGUCUGAGAGGAUGACCAGCCACACUGGAACUGAGACACGGUCCAGACUCCUACGUGAGGCAGCAGUGGGGAAUAUUGCACAAUGGGCGCAAGCCUGAUGCAGCCAUGCCGCGUGUGUGAAGAAGGCCUUCGGGUUGUAAAGCACUUUCAGCGGGGAGGCGUUACCCGCAGAAGAAGCACCGGCUAACUCCGUGCCAGCAGCCGCGGUAAUAC